rnacentral:rRNA from 1 species
UACGUAGGGACCAAGCGUUGUUCGGAUUUACUGGGCGUAAAGGGCGCGUAGGCGGCGUGACAAGUCACUUGUGAAAUCUCCGAGCUUAACUCGGAAAGGUCAACUGAUACUGUGCGGCUAGAGUGCGGAAGGGGCAACUGGAAUUCUUGGUGUAGCGGUGAAAUGCGUAGAUAUCAAGAGGAACACCUGCGGCGAAGGCGGGUUGCUGGGCCGACACUGACGCUGAGGCGCGAAAGCCAGGGGAGCGAACGGG